rnacentral:rRNA from 1 species
UGGGGAAUAUUGCACAAUGGGGGAAACCCUGAUGCAGCGACGCCGCGUGAGCGAAGAAGGUUUUCGAAUCGUAAAGCUCUGUCCCAUGGGAAGAUAAUGACGGUACCAUAGGAGGAAGCCCCGGCUAACUACGUGCCAGCAGCCGCGGUAAUACGUAGGGGGCAAGCGUUGUCCGGAAUCACUGGGCGUAAAGGGUUCGCAGGCGGAACUGCAAGUCAGUUGUGAAAGGCAGAGGCUCAACCUCUGUAAGCAAUUGAAACUGUAUUUCUUGAGAUGUGGAGAGGCAAGUGGAAUUCCUAGUGUAGCGGUGAAAUGCGUAGAUAUUAGGAAGAAUACCGGUGGCGAAGGCGACUUGCUGGACACAAACUGACGCUGAGGAACGAAAGCGUGGGUAGCAAACAGG